UUAAAACUCCACUAUGCUAAUGGUUGAACGCCAAAGAUUUCUAAAAGGGCGAUAUUUGGACACAUCACAUGUCCAUCCGGAAGAGAUUGAACUCGAAGAUACACCACCAUGCCAAUUGACUGGAAGAUUCUCGGAUCAAAUCCACAUCUUUAUUUCCCACUGUGCGGCCUCAAGAUUAACGGAGUAAAAUUCUCCAGAUGGAAUUUGAUUGAAGGAUACAUAAGGUUCUUCCUUGGGAGUUUUAUAUUUGAAGAUGGGUCACUGAAUAGCUGGUUGUUUACUUCCGAAUUCGACUUGUCUUCAGCAGAUAAUUGAAGUGAUGAGAACAGAAACGUAUAUAACAUCACCAUCUACAUCUACCUGUCAAUUUUUUCAAUGAAUCAGAGAGCGUGUGAAAUGAAUAAUACAAACAAUGGUUAGAUCUCUUGUCGCCGAAAACAGGAUUAACAAUAAGAGAGUUAAUAUUAUUUUAAUAUCCCUUCAACUAUCUCGGUAUAAUGAAUCUGUUUACUAAUGAA